rnacentral:rRNA from 1 species
CACAAGCGGUGGAGCAUGUGGUUUAAUUCGAUGCAACGCGAAGAACCUUACCUACUCUUGACAUCCAGAGAACUUAGCAGAGAUGCUUUGGUGCCUUCGGGAACUNUGAGACAGGUGCUGCAUGGCUGUCGUCAGCUCGUGUUGUGAAAUGUUGGGUUAAGUCCCGCAACGAGCGCAACCCUUAUCCUUUGUUGCCAGCGGUUCGGCCGGGAACUCAAAGGAGACUGCCAGUGAUAAACUGGAGGAAGGUGGGGAUGACGUCAAGUCAUCAUGGCCCUUACGAGUAGGGNUACACACGUGCUACAAUGGCGCAUACAAAGAGAAGCGACCUCGCGAGAGCAAGCGGACCUCAUAAAGUGCGUCGUAGUCCGGAUUGGAGUCUGCAACUNGACUCCAUGAAGUCGGAAUCGCUAGUAAUCGUAGAUCAGAAUGCUACGGUGAAUACGUUCCCGGGCCUUGUACACACCGCCCGUCACACCAUGGGAGUGGGUUGCAAAAGAAGUAGGUAGCUUAACCUUCGGGAGGGCGC